rnacentral:rRNA from 1 species
GACGGAGGAUGCAAGCGUUAUCCGGAAUGAUUGGGCGUAAAGCGUCCGCAGGUGGCAGUUCAAGUCUGCUGUCAAAGACCGGGGCUUAACCCUGGAAAGGCCGUGGAAACUGAAGUGCUAGAGUGCAGUAGGGGUAGAGGGAAUUCCCGGUGUAGCGGUGAAAUGCGUAGAGCUCGGGAAGAACAUCGGUGGCGAAAGCGCUCUACUGGACUGCAACUGACACUGAGGGACGAAAGCUAGGGGAGCGAAUGGG